rnacentral:rRNA from 1 species
GCAGCGACGCAGCGUGCGGGAUGACGGCCUUCGGGUUGUAAACCGCUUUCAGCAGGGAAGAAGCGCAAGUGACGGUACCUGCAGAAGAAGUACCGGCUAACUACGUGCCAGCAGCCGCGGUAAUACGUAGGGUACGAGCGUUGUCCGGAAUUAUUGGGCGUAAAGAGCUCGUAGGUGGUUGGUCACGUCUGCUGUGGAAACGCAACGCUUAACGUUGCGCGUGCAGUGGGUACGGGCUGACUAGAGUGCAGUAGGGGAGUCUGGAAUUCCUGGUGUAGCGGUGAAAUGCGCAGAUAUCAGGAGGAACACCGGUGGCGAAGGCGGGACUCUGGGCUGUAACUGACACUGAGGAGCGAAAGCAUGGGGAGCGAACAGGAUUAGAUACCCUGGUAGUCCAUGCCGUAAACGUUGGGCACUAGGUGUGGGGGGCAUUCCACGUUCUCCGCGCCGUAGCUAACGCAUUAAGUGCCCCGCCUGGGGAGUACG